rnacentral:rRNA from 1 species
UGCGCAGGCGGUUUUGUAAGCCAGAUGUGAAAUCCCCGAGCUUAACUUGGGAACUGCGUUUGGAACUACAAGACUAGAGUGUGUCAGAGGGGGGUAGAAUUCCACGUGUAGCAGUGAAAUGCGUAGAGAUGUGGAGGAAUACCGAUGGCGAAGGCAGCCCCCUGGGAUAACACUGACGCUCAUGCACGAAAGCGUGGGAGCAAACA